AAAAACGACGAUUGCCAAGCCCGCUUUUGUCUCCAUCAAGUAGGAAGAGGGAGAGAGAAGGAGGAGAUCUACAGGUAGGGGAUCGGAGACGAAUGGGGAGAGGAAAGAUAGUGAUAAGGAGGAUCGACAAUUCGACGAGCAGGCAAGUGACCUUCUCGAAGCGAAGGAAUGGAUUGCUGAAGAAGGCGAAGGAGCUAGGUAUUCUGUGCGACGCGGAGGUAGGAGUCGUCAUCUUCUCCAGCACCGGCAAGCUCUACGAUUACGCUAGCUCCAGCAUGAGGUCAGUGAUUGAUCGGUACAAGAAAGUAAAGGAGGAGGAUUACCAAUUGGCAAAUCAAACUUCUGAGGUCAAGUUCUGGCAAAGAGAAGCAGCCAUGCUAAGGCAACAACUGCAAAACUUGCAGGAAAAUCAUCGGCAAAUGAUGGGUGAAGAACUUACUGGUCUGAGUGUGAAAGAUUUACAAAGCUUGGAGAACCAGCUGGAAAUGAGUCUUCGUGGUGUCCGUACAAGAAAGGACCAAAUUUUACUUGAUGAGAUACAUGAACUAAACCAAAAGGGAAGUCUCAUACAUCAAGAAAACCUGGAACUGUAUGACAAGGUAAACCUAAUUCGUGAGGAAAACCUGGAAUUAUAUAAGAAGGUUUAUGGAUCAAGGGGCAAGAAUGGAAUAAGCAGGAAUGCCAUCCUUACUAACGGUUUAAGUAUUAAUGAGGACCCACAUGUACCUGUCAAUCUCCAGCUUUGCCAGCCACAGCAACAAAACUCUGAGAACACAUCAGGAGCUACGGAAUUGGGAUUACAACUGCACUAGUGGAAAAGAUAUUGACUCCAGAAGAGUGUAUGAACAAUCCAUUUCACAGAAUCAAAGCCAUGGUCACAAAUUUAUAACUCAGUUGUAAGGAUCUUAUAAGAACCAAAGGUUGUUCAGGAACACUCCAAUUGACAUGGUUUGGGCAACCGGGCGAGGUAUUGAAAAACAGUGAAAGUACAAUGGUGCAAUCAAGUUCCCAGAGUGAAGAUUCACGAAAACAAUUUGGCAGCCAGGUGGCAUGGCUCUUACAUUAAAAUGCAACACAUGGCAAAGCAUAAUCAUAUAGUUCUACCAAAAAAAAAAAGAAGCUAAAGUGCGUAACAAGUAGACUUGAAGUGCUGACAAGCUUCAUCAGAUUGCUCUAUGAAAGGCUAGAGAGUAACAAGAAAGUCUAAAUUGCACGAAUGUUUAAAAUGCUUAUGGCCUGUUUUUUAUGCAAUGUAAAUUUCUCAUUUCCGUGAUGGUUCACAUUCAUGCAAUAUUCUCUUUCAUAAUUCACAUUACUUCUUGCUUGAUACGGAGUACUAUAUACGAACUUUUUGCUUAUUGUAUUUGCUUUUUUAAUAUAUCAAAAUUUCAUUCCUCUUGAA